GACGAACGCUGGCGGCGUGCUUAACACAUGCAAGUCGAACGGUGAAGCGCCUUCCUUUUUGGUGGGUGUGGAUGAGUGGCGAACGGGUGAGUAACACGUGAGUAACCUGCCCCCUUCUUCUGGAUAACCGCAUGAAAGUGUGGCUAAUACGGGAUAUUCUGGGUCUGUCGCAUGAUGGGUCUGGGAAAGAUAUUGUUUCGGUGGGGGAUGGGCUCGCGGCCUAUCAGCUUGUUGGUGGGGUGAUGGCCUACCAAGGCGGUGACGGGUAGCCGGCCUGAGAGGGUGGACGGUCACACUGGGACUGAGACACGGCCCAGACUCCGACGGGAGGCAGCAGGGGGGAAUAUUGCACAAUGGGCGCAAGCCUGAUGCAGCGACGCCGCGGGAGGGAUGGAGGCCUGCGGGUUGUGAACCUCUUUCGCCAGUGAAGCAGGCCUGCCUCGUUUGUGGGUGGGUUGACGGUAGCUGGAUAAGAAGCGCCGGCUAACUACGUG
rnacentral:rRNA from 1 species